CCUACGGUGCGCGGCAGUGAGGAAUAUUGGUCAAUGGGCGCGAGCCUGAACCAGCCAAGUCGCGUGAGGGAUGAAGGUUCUAUGGAUCGUAAACCUCUUUUAUAAGGGAAUAAAGUGUGGGACGUGUCCUAUUUUGUAUGUACCUUAUGAAUAAGGAUCGGCUAACUCCGUGCCAGCAGCCGCGGUAAUACGGAGGAUCCGAGCGUUAUCCGGAUUUAUUGGGUUUAAAGGGUGCGUAGGCGGCCUUUUAAGUCAGCGGUGAAAGUCUGUGGCUCAACCUCGCUCCGCCGUUGAAACUGGCGUUCUUGAGUGGGCGAGAAGUAUGCGGAAUGCGUGGUGUAGCGGUGAAAUGCAUAGAUAUCACGCAGAACUCCGAUUGCGAAGGCAGCAUACCGGCGCCCAACUGACGCUGAAGCACGAAAGCGUGGGUAUCGAACAGGAUUAGAUACCCCAGUAGUC
rnacentral:rRNA from 1 species